rnacentral:rRNA from 1 species
GUAGCGGCGAGCGAAACGGGAAGAGCCCAAACCAACAAGCUUGCUUGUUGGGGUUGUAGGACACUCUAUACGGAGUUACAAAGGACGACAUUAGACGAAUCAUCUGGAAAGAUGAAUCAAAGAAGGUAAUAAUCCUGUAGUCGAAAAUGUUGUCUCUCUUGAGUGGAUCCUGAGUACGACGGAGCACGUGAAAUUCCGUCGGAAUCUGGGAGGACCAUCUCCUAAGGCUAAAUACUCUCUAGUGACCGAUAGUGAACCAGUACCGUGAGGGAAAGGUGAAAAGCACCCCGGAAGGGGAGUGAAAUAGAACCUGAAACCGUGUGCUUACAAGUAGUCAGAGCCCGUUAAUGGGUGAUGGCGUGCCUUUUGUAGAAUGAACCGGCGAGUUACGAUUUGAUGCAAGGUUAAGCAGUAAAUGUGGAGCCGUAGCGAAAGCGAGUCUGAAUAGGGCGUUUAGUAUUUGGUCGUAGACCCGAAACCAGGUGAUCUACCCUUGGUCAGGUUGAAGUUCAGGUAACACUGAAUGGAGGACCGAACCGACUUACGUUGAAAAGUGAGCGGAUGAACUGAGGGUAGCGGAGAAAUUCCAAUCGAACCUGGAGAUAGCUGGUUCUCUCCGAAAUAGCUUUAGGGCUAGCCUCAAGUGAUGAUUAUUGGAGGUAGAGCACUGUUUGGACGAGGGGCCCCUCUCGGGUUACCGAAUUCAGACAAACUCCGAAUGCCAAUUAAUUUAACUUGGGAGUC